GACGAACGCUGGCGGCGUGCCUAAUACAUGCAAGUCGAGCGGGCCUCCGGAGGUGCUUGCACCUCCGGACGGCCAGCGGCGGACGGGUGAGUAACACGUGGGCAACCUGCCUUUGAGGCCGGGAUAACACCGGGAAACCGGUGCUAAUACCGGAUACGUCCUCUUUCGCGCCUGCGAGAGGGGAGAAAGACGGACCUUAAGGCCGUCGCCCCACGAGGGGCCCGCGGCGCAUUAGCUGGUUGGUGGGGCAAGGGCCUACCAAGGCGACGAUGCGUUGCCGACCUGAGAGGGUGAUCGGCUACACUGGGACUGAGACACGGCCCAGACUCCUGCGGGAGGCAGCAGUAGGGAAUCAUCCGCAAUGGGCGAAAGCCUGACGGUGCAACGCCGCGUGAGUGAGGAAGGUUUUCGGAUCGUAAAGCUCUGUUGUGAGGGAAGAACAGCAUCCGGAGGAAAUGCCGGAGGUUUGCCGGUACCUCACCAGAAAGCCCCGGCUAACUACGUGUCAGCCGCCGCAGUAACAC
rnacentral:rRNA from 1 species